rnacentral:rRNA from 1 species
UACGUAGGAUGCAAGCGUUGUCCGGAAUUAUUGGGCGUAAAGAGCGCGCAGGCGGUAACUCAAGUCAGAUGUGAAAUAUCCGGGCUUAACCCGGAGGGGUCAUUUGAAACUGAGUAACUAGAGUACAGCAGAGGAUAGCGGAAUUCCCGGUGUAGUGGUGAAAUGCGCAGAUAUCAGGAGGAACACCGGUGGCGAAGGCGGGUCUUUUGGGCCGAUACUGACGCUGAGAAGCGAAAGCGUGGGGAGCGAACAGG